rnacentral:rRNA from 1 species
UACGAAGGGGGCUAGCGUUGUUCGGAUUUACUGGGCGUAAAGCGCACGUAGGCGGAUCGUUAAGUCGGGGGUGAAAUCCUGGAGCUCAACUCCAGAACUGCCUUCGAUACUGGCGAUCUUGAGUCCGGAAGAGGUGAGUGGAACUCCUAGUGUAGAGGUGGAAUUCGUAGAUAUUAGGAAGAACACCAGUGGCGAAGGCGGCUCACUGGCCCGAUACUGACGCUGAGGCACGAAAGCGUGGGGAGCGAACAGG